rnacentral:rRNA from 1 species
GGUGAGUAACACGUGGAUAACCUACCUAUAAGACUGGGAUAACUUCGGGAAACCGGAGCUAAUACCGGAUAAUAUAUUGAACCGCAUGGUUCAAUAGUGAAAGACGGUUUUGCUGUCACUUGUAGAUGGAUCCGCGCCGCAUUAGCUAGUUGGUAAGGUAACGGCUUACCAAGGCAACGAUGCGUAGCCGACCUGAGAGGGUGAUCGGCCACACUGGAACUGAGACACGGUCCAG